AACGAACGCUGGCGGCAUGCCUAACACAUGCAAGUCGAACGAUACCUUCGGGUCCAGUUGCGCACGGGUGCGUAACGCGUGGGAACCUUCCCUUAGGUUCGGAAUAACUCCCCGAAAGGGGUGCUAAUACCGGAUAAUGUCUUCGGACCAAUUAUUUAUCGCCAUUGGAUGGGCCCGCGUUGGAUUAGCUAGUUGGUAGGGUAAAAGCCUACCAAGGCGACGAUCCAUAGCUGGUCUGAGAGGAUGCUCAGCCACACUGGGACUGAGACACGGCCCAGACUCCUACGGGAGGCAGCAGUGGGGCAGAUUGGAGCAGGGGCGAAAGCCUGAUUCAGCAAUGCCGCGUGAGUGAUGAAGGCCGUAGGGUUGUAAAGCUCUUUUACCCGGGAUGAUAAUGACAGUACCGGGAGAAUAAGCACCGGCUAACCCGUG
rnacentral:rRNA from 1 species